AGAGUUUGAUUAUGGCUCAGGAUGAACGCUGGCGGCGUGCCUAACACAUGCAAGUCGAACGAAGCAGUCCUCUCCGGAGGGCUGACUGAGUGGCGGACGGGUGAGUAACGCGUGGGUAACCUGCCCUGUACAGGGGGAUAACAGUCAGAAAUGACUGCUAAUACCGCAUAAGCGCACGGGAAGACAUCUUUCUGUGUGAAAAACUCCGGUGGUACAGGAUGGGCCCGCGUCUGAUUAGCUUGUUGGCGGGGUAAGGGCCCACCAAGGCGACGAUCAGUAGCCGGUCUGAGAGGAUGAACGGCCACAUUGGAACUGAGACACGGUCCAAACUCCUACGGGAGGCAGCAGUGGGGAAUAUUGCACAAUGGGGGAAACCCUGAUGCAGCAAACCGCCGCGUGAGUGAAGAAGUAUUUCGGUAUGUAAAGCUCUAUCAGCAGGGAAGAUGAUGACGGUACCUGACUAAGAAGCUCCGGCUAAAUACGUGCCAGCCGCCGC
rnacentral:rRNA from 1 species